rnacentral:lncRNA from 1 species
UGAAAGACAUCUCCUCAUCACAAUUCACACUCACAGACAAAUCAUUACCCGAGUUCAUUCUAGAUUCACUAAUGGCGGGUUUUGAUUUGAACAUUCUUACUCUAUCUUUCCUUUUACAUAUUCUUACACUCUUUUUCUUCUUAUAUUCUUUUUCCUCCUAUACUUUCACAUUCACUUUCCUCUUAUAUUUCACAUUCACUUUAUUAAUCUCAAUUUAGAAAAAUUACGAGCAUAAGAAAAAAAUAAUAUAUUUGGAGGAUCUUCCAAACUGUCUAAUAACA